GACCAGCGCCACCAGGCUCUCGCGCGCCGCCCCUUCUGGCACCAGCGAGAUGGCGCUGGCUUCUGGUGUCCCAGGCCCAGUAGUCGAGGUCGCGUCUGCCCCUCCGAGAGCAGCGGCGGCGGCAGCAGCUGCGAAAGAAUAGGAGUUGGCAAACUUCUUCCGUGAAGGACCAGAUACUGCUGGACUGGCCGCUUGCUGGGAGCCUUGCCGCCCUUCUCCUGCUCCAGGCAAUGCUGCGCUUGUUUCUGGGGGCAGACUGCUGCUUUAUGGAAGGCCGGGGGUUGUCGCUCCUGGAGGAGAGAAAGCAGAGUGGUGUUGUGCCCACAUUCUGUCUUCAAGCAUUUAAAGGUGUAUGUGUGUGUGUGUGUGUUUAAUGAGGCAGUUGUGGGCAAACUGUUGCCUGUAUUACAUGAAAGAGGAGAGGAAUGGGCUACUUUCAAACAAGAGAGAUUUUGAUUAGACCUAAAGAAGAAAGCCUUAGCCUUCGAGUGAUGAACUACCACGCUGGGAAGCUGAGGUGAGGAUGCCAAAUCCCUGAGCUGAGCUGACGAAUGGCGGGAUGAUGAGUCAGACUUAGAAGCACGUGGAUCUGAGUUCACAUCCUGGUGUACAGCCUCUCACUUGCUGCUUGGCCUUGGGCAUGUUGCUCAACCUCUCUGACCCUUAGUUCCCUAGCUCACUGGGUAGUUAGGGAACUAAGCUACCUUAGCGAUAACAGGAACUCAGGCUUCUUCUAGUUUGUUUCUUGGCCAUCCUCAGAAGAUACUUUCACCUCGUGGUCCAAGACGGCUGCUCUCACUCCAGCCACUACACAUGCAUUUGUGAAAACUAAUAACCAGAAACCUCAUUUACAAUGGAGUUGGGAGGCCAGAAGAGAGAACUCUCAUGCAUGUGCCAGCAAAGCACACAGGACAGAUCCCAACAGGAAGAGAGGGACCUGCAUCUCCAACAGGAAGUGAUACUACUUUCUGCCCCAGCAAGAAGGAAGGGAGAAAUUCCUCUUGCCUAGCAACAGCUCAGCCAAUGAGAGACUGCCAUAACUCAGCCAAGGAAAAGCCACUGCACUCCCAGUCUCCUCCAGCGGACUCUGGGUUUACAGCAGCCCCUCCCAACUGCUUAAAGGGAUGUUUCUCUCCUUUGUUUCCUGGGACUUGCCUGUGGCUCUCUGUAGACCGCAUGUCCCGAAAUGUAAUUCUUUGCUGUUUUGCUAGUAGAAUAAAUGGCAGUUAAUUUGUUUUAGGUCAACAUAUUCUGGACCAGAAAUUGGCAAAGGAAGCUCCACAAGCCAAAUCCAGUCUUCCACCUGUUUUGGUCAGCAGACGGUAACACUGCCGACUUGCCAGGGAGGCUGUCAGGAAUGGGUGUGGCAGUGGUCGUAAAGGGCUAGCACAGUGUCUUACCCAGAGCAAAUGCUCAGAAAAUCUGAAAUGACAGACGAGAGCCCCUCAGCCCUGCUCAGGUCGGGUAUUUGCCUGAGUGAGGCCGCUGAAUCAGUGCCCACUGUCUGUGCAGGUCGGAUUGCACUGAGGACCAGGACAACUUCCACUGCAAAGGCCCUUCUGGAUCCCUUCCUUCACGUCUUCAUCUUCUGCAUCUCAGGUCAAAGCUUCCUCUGGAAACCUUCCCUGGCUUCCGCAGCCCAGUCAAAGCCCUCGCCACACACUCUCAGGACCCUGUGGACCUCACUUUGUCACCCUGGCCUCAGCAGCUGCUGUUUGUGGUUUCUGAGAUCAUUUGUUAACAUCUGUCUCUCCACCAUACUCUAAGUUCCAGAGGGCAGGGGCUAUGUCUGCUUUUCUCACCAUUGCAUUCUCAGUAGCCAGCAGCAUACCUGGCGCAUAGUAGAUGCUCAGUAAAUGUUUGUACGGUGAGUGAAUAAAUGAAGGCUGUGUCCCUCCCUCUGAUUGUAUUUAUAUCGAUGCUUUCUGUUCUCUCAGAUCAGUUUGCAUAAUUAUUCCCCUAACCUGACCGGUUCUGCGCUUUGCCCCCAGCUUCAUGUGCCCAUCAGGGGGGCUUGUACCUCACUGAACACCAAACCACCUGGUUGUGGAGGCCAGAGGCUUCCAGAGGACGUAGGGUCAAAAGGCUGGGGAGCUGUCAGAUAGCUAGGGAAUUUUGCGUUAGAUGGGCUGCUGCAUAACUAUCUGCUUUCAAAGGCUUCGGGCUAAUCAGAAUUUCAAAGGAUACUUUUAAAUGUAAUAGGAUUCUACCUGAAAGAGCAAUGAGCGAGGCAUUGGAGCUGUUUAUUCCUCUAGUUGCUAUUCUAGGCUUGUAUCAAAGAUAGCUAGGGCCUUGCGAUUUUAUUUUCAUUCUGGCACAAAAUGGAAAAAUCUAAUGUGAGGGCAGGAUGGCGGUGCUGGCGAGACCACAAAGAAAUACUCCACCCAGCUCCUUGCCUCAGUUAUUCUAAGGAGAACAGAGGAGCACAGGAAGCUGACUGAGCAGUGUCCUUCUCAGCCGAGUCUUCCUGUGAAUACAGGUCAAGUUUUCUCUUCCUUUCCCCAAAACAGCCUUGGCGGGUCCACGUGGGUUAGACAUAUCCUCAAACAUGGGCAGCACUUCACAUAGAAAGUGUUAAAGAUCCCCUUUAAAAUUAAAAUCACUAGUAUUAACACUUUUCAUUGUUUUUAUGACUGUUGCUUUUGACCAUCGUAGUCUUGGGGAAACUUGUGUAGAAGAAAAAAAAUAAAACCAC